CCAACCAUAGCUUUCCUAAGCUCCUUUGUGAUCCCAAAUAACCUUCCUUGUUUUCUAUGUUUUUCUCCAGCCUUGACUCCAGUCCGGUUUUGGUUCAGUUGAGUCCUCGUUUGUGCUGAUCUCCUCGUCUCAAGUUCUAAGUGAAGUUCCUGGAUUCCAUUUCCAGCUGGAGGCUGCUAAAACCUUCUCCUUUCUGGCUCAAGAGCCUAGCGAACCCUGUCCGCCCUCCGACGUAUUUGACUCCGAGCCCGGCACUUGUACUCGUCAUUCAGAUCUAGUGGAAUACCACUUCAAGCAGGCUCAGAAUUCAUCCAUCCGGCCCCGCUUUGUCUCCCUCUCACGCAAAGCUCCAUCCAUCCACCCAGUAAGUUAGAAAGAGUUCAUCAAGAAAAUUUUAUUAUUGUUUCCCAUCACUUAACAAGCCUUCUCUCCACACAGUGGGUGCAAUCCAGUACCUGUUCUCAUAUCGAUUCAUCAAAAUAAACUCUUUAACAUGUUCUCUGUCUCCUGAGUGUUCUCUGCAUGUGGGUCAAGUCAAUAAACAAAAAGACGACAGAACACUCAGGCCAAAUUGACCCAGCAGAGACUCUCAGGAGAACAAUUUCAGAACACAGCCACCAGAUCCAGUCUCACAAAUCCACCCUCCGAGCUAUGUUUGAGCAACAGAAACAAACAAACCUCCAGCUGGAACAAAUGGCUUCUCUCCUACAGCAAACCCAGCUUUCCAAGACUUCCACUGCAUCAGGGGGCACUGUAGGACCCCCCGUGUCACAAAAAUGUCCCUGGGACGUGACAUAACUCCUCCUGACCCAGAGAAGUUUUCUGUAGAGGUUCUUGUUCUCUCUCUUCAGGGUUUCCAGGUGGCCCAGAGCUUCUGCAUAGGAGUUUUUCAUUUUGAGCAUCUCUGUGUUCAAAGCACGCGCCUCCUUCAGAGCUCCUUCCAGCUCGACCUGACUCUCUUCAUACCUGAACCCCAUAGAGAAUCUGUGGGAUAUUGUGAAGAGAACGUUGAGAGACUCAAGACCCAACACUCUGGAUGAGC